rnacentral:rRNA from 1 species
GUGGCGAACGGGUGAGUAACACGUGAGUAACCUGCCCUUGACUCUGGGAUAAGCGUUGGAAACGACGUCUAAUACCGGAUACGAGCUGGGACCGCAUGGUCACCAGCUGGAAAGAACUUCGGUCAAGGAUGGACUCGCGGCCUAUCAGCUAGUUGGUGAGGUAACGGCUCACCAAGGCGACGACGGGUAGCCGGCCUGAGAGGGUGACCGGCCACACUGGGACUGAGACACGGCCCAGACUCCUACGGGAGGCAGCAGUGGGGAAUAUUGCACAAUGGGCGCAAGCCUGAUGCAGCAACGCCGCGUGAGGGACGACGGCCUUCGGGUUGUAAACCUCUUUUAGCAGGGAAGAAGCGAAAGUGACGGUACCUGCAGAAAAGGCACCGGCUAACUACGUGCCAGCAGCCGCGGUAAUACGUAGGGUGCAAGCGUUGUCCGGAAUUAUUGGGCGUAAAGAGCUCGUAGGCGGUCUGUCGCGUCUGCUGUGAAAACCCGAGGCUCAACCUCGGGCCUGCAGUGGGUACGGGCAGACUAGAGUGCGGUAGGGGAGAUUGGAAUUCCUGGUGUAGCGGUGGAAUGCGCAGAUAUCAGGAGGAACACCGAUGGCGAAGGCAGAUCUCUGGGCCGUAACUGACGCUGAGGAGCGAAAGCGUGGGGAGCGAACAGGAUUAGAUACCCUGGUAGUCCAC